ACACAUGCAAGUCGAACGAAGCUUGACGGAUGAUUUCUUCGGAAUGAAACCAGAUAUGACUUAGUGGCGGACGGGUGAGUAACACGUGAGCAACCUGCCUUUCAGAGGGGGAUAACGGCUGGAAACGGUCGCUAAUACCGCAUGAUGUGUUCGGAUGGCAUCAUUUGAACAUCAAAGAUUUAUCGCUGAAAGAUGGGCUCGCGUCUGAUUAGAUAGUUGGUGGGGUAACGGCCUACCAAGUCUACGAUCAGUAGCCGGACUGAGAGGUUGAACGGCCACAUUGGGACUGAGAUACGGCCCAGACUCCUACGGGAGGCAGCAGUGGGGAAUAUUGCACAAUGGGGGAAACCCUGAUGCAGCAACGCCGCGUGAAGGAUGACGGUUUUCGGAUUGUAAACUUCCUUUCUUAGUGACGAAGACAGUGACGGUAGCUAAGGAAUAAGCAUCGGCUAACUACGUGCCAGCAGCCGCGGUAAUACGUAGGAUGCAAGCGUUAUCCGGAUUUACUGGGUGUAAAGGGAGCGCAGGCGGGACUGCAAGUUGGAUGUGAAAUACCGUGGCUUAACCACGGAACUGCAUCCAAAACUGUAGUUCUUGAGUGAAGUAGAGGCAAGCGGAAUUCCGAGUGUAGCGGUGAAAUGCGUAGAUAUUCGGAGGAACACCAGUGGCGAAGGCGGCUUGCUGGGCUUUAACUGACGCUGAGGCUCGAAAGUGUGGGGAGCAAACAGGAUUAGAUACCCUGGUAGUCCACACUGUAAACGAUGAUAGCUAGG
rnacentral:rRNA from 1 species